UAUAUAUAUAAUCUUUUAUAUGCAUCUACUUUAGCAUUUACAUCAUAUCAUGCAUUACUAGCAUUAUGUAACUUGCUCACUAUGCAUUUCUACUUAGCAUUUACAUUAACAUGCAUUGUUUAACACUUAUAUGCAUCAACACGAAUUCUUAAUUCGCUUAGACAUAAAGGCGACCUUGUGAGACCCCAGAUAGUCCUAUAUAUAAGAUAUAAUAGGGCUAAACUCUUAACCCGGCUUCAGCAUUUUGGGUGGUGGCUAGGCCCAAGAGGUUAAGAGAGUUAAGCGUGCUAGGAUGGGAGUAGUCCUAGGAUGGGUGACCCCCUGGGAAGUCGGGGCGUCACAGAUGGUAUCAGAGCCAAUUACCAGCCGGAAGUGUGAGAUGAGUCUCGGCUGAGCCAGGGUCUGGAUGACGGGCUAGCGAGAUGAGUCUCACAUCGCCUGGUACUUGUGAGUCUGAGCCUGACGAGGACGUCAGGGCUUAAAGGAGGGGAGAUUGUGAGACCCCAGAUAGUCCUAUAUAUGAGAUAUAAUAGGGCUAAACUCUUAACCCGGCUUAAGCAUUUUGGGUGGUGGCUAGGCCCAAGAGGUUAAGAAAGUUAAGCGUGCUAGGAUGGGAGUAGUCUUAGGAUGGGUGACCCCCUGGGAAGUCGGGGCGUCACAGACCUAGUCGCUUCGGUAAGCACAACCCACAUCGAUUCGCGUUCCGAUUGCUUGUCGACAUUUGCAAUCGGCGUCCCGCGGCACCCGUAUCCGGCACGGCCCGAUAUUGCAACUACGCCUCAACCGUGCUCCGCUUCGCAGCCCCGAAAAUUAUAGGUCUUCGGUUAUGUGCCACGGUGCUCCAAAUCCAUUUCCACGAUUUUACGACGUCGCCUCGGCCCUCCAGGCGGAAGCGAAGCCUAAACGUCCGUUUCUUUAAUAACUUCGCAACGGCUCGACGAAUCGCCGAACCGACUUCGCCAACGCGUUCGUUUACCUAGCAAUUAGGUUUAUAUAGGUUCAAUUUAGAUCAAACCCAUC
rnacentral:lncRNA from 1 species